GUGUUGUAUGAAAGGAGAGAAGGUUAGCACUCCCCUUGAUAAGGAUGGAAGAGGUCCUUGUGGCCUGUACAACACGCAUGUGUGUCCAGGCAUGCCCAACAAAGGUGACAGAGAAAACUGAUCCGUGCAUCGCCUUUC